rnacentral:rRNA from 1 species
GAUGAACGCUAGCUACAGGCUUAACACAUGCAAGUCGAGGGGCAGCAUGGACAUAGCUUGCUAUGUUUGAUGGCGACCGGCGCACGGGUGCGUAACACGUAUCCAAUCUGCCCGUUACUCGGGGAUAGCCUUCUGAAAGGAAGAUUAAUACCCGAUGGCAUGUAUUUCCGGCAUCGGAGAUACAUUAAAGAUUAAUCGGUAACGGAUGAGGAUGCGUACGAUUAGCUUGUUGGCGGGGUAACGGCCCACCAAGGCAACGAUCGUUAGGGGUUCUGAGAGGAAGGUCCCCCACACUGGAACUGAGACACGGUCCAGACUCCUACGGGAGGCAGCAGUGAGGAAUAUUGGUCAAUGGUCGGAAGACUGAACCAGCCAAGUAGCGUGAAGGAUGACUGCCCUACGGGUUGUAAACUUCUUUUGUUUGGGAAUAAAAGACGCUACGUGUAGCGUUCUGCAUGUACCUUACGAAUAAGCAUCGGCUAAUUCCGUGCCAGCAGCCG